UCACUCUAAAUAAAAGGCCACCUUUUGAGCUCUUCCCAUUCCAUAGCAUCCAGUUGCCGUUAAACAAGACUAUUCCUCAUUUAAUAGGCAGCUUGUAUAUUAAUUUCUGGUUUAACAACCAGUACUUGCAGCCUCUGUAUAUGAUUCUGCAGAGACCUUCGGGGUGACUCCUGAGAAAAGAGAAGCCAAUGGAAAAAAGUGUUAAAAUUUCACCCAUCCUGCUGAGAAGAGGCUUUAUGUUCCUACAGAGAUGCAGUAUGAAGGAAUCUCUAAAAAUAUAUUGGCCUGGACAGGCUGGCUCAGCUCUCCCCAGGCUGUUGUUUGA